ensembl:lncRNA
CCCACACCAGCCCAACACAGGCUAGCCUAUACCAACUAAACACAGGCUAGCCCACACCAACCCAACACAGGCUAGCCUAUACCAACUAAACACAGGCUAGCCCACACCAACCCAACACAGGCUAGCCCACACCAACCCAACACAGGCUAGCCCACACCAACCCAACACGGGCUAGCCCACACCAGCCCAACACGGGCUAGCCCAUACCAACAAAACACAGGCUAGCCCACACCAGCCCAACACGGGCUAGCCCAUACCAACUAAACACAGGCUAGCCCACACCAACCCAACACAGGCUAGCCCACACCAACCCAACACAGGCUAGCCCACACCAGCCCAACACGGGCUAGCCCACACCAGCCCAACACGGGCUAGCCCAUACCAACAAAACACAGAAUAGCCCACACCAGCCCAACACGGGCUAGCCCACACCAGCCCAACACGGGCUAGCCCAUACCAACAAAACACAGAAUAGCCCACACCAGCCCAACACGGGCUAGCCCACACCAGCCCAACACAGGCUAGCCCAUACCAACUAAACACAGAAUAGCCCACACCAGCCCAACACAGGCUAGCCCAUACCAACUAAACACAGAAUAGCCCACACCAAAGGCGCAUCGGCCCAAUGUGGGCAGCCUAGAUGGGGCCAAUAUUUUAGCCCAAAUUGGGCCCACACCGAGACAAUGUGGACAUGUUUGCUGGGGCUAAAACCUACAAUUUCUAGUUCCUUGUAAUUUUAUCGCUCUCUCCACGGUGCCGUGAGAAAACAAUAUAGUCCAAAUCUCCUUAAUGUUGUUUGAAUCUAAUGUCUCACAUUGGGCAUAUUAAGCAGAUUGCCUGCGUUAAACUACUGCUGUCAGAGCAGCAUGACAGACAUUACCAGCACUUAAGGCACUUUGUUUGUGUAUGUGUGUGUGUAUGUGUGUGUGUGUGUGUGUCUCUGUUUAUCUGCAUGUGUGUGUUUGUUUGUAGGUGUGUAUGUGUGUUCGAACACCCCAAAUCUGAUUUUGCCCAUUCAUCCAAGUCUGUAAUCGUGCCCCAGACAGUUUGGUCCAUUUAAAAUGUAAAAAUAAAGUAAUAAAGGCUCAAUAAAGUAAUCAUAUCAUGCUGCUGCUCUAUAACUGUGCUGUCACCUCUACUGUGAUCAUAAGAGACAAGACCUGAGAGAGAAUGACAACAUCAAUGCUUGGCUAACAACUAUCACUGUAAUAAACAUGUGUAUGGAUCUGAAAGGCCUUGGUAGACUGUAU